rnacentral:rRNA from 1 species
GAUGAACGCUAGCGGCAGGCUUAAUACAUGCAAGUCGGAGGGGCAGCACGGUUAGCAAUAACUGGUGGCGACCGGCGCACGGGUGCGUAACACGUAUACAAUCUACCUUAAACGAGGGGAUAGCCUUUCGAAAGAGAGAUUAAUACCCCGUAAUAAAUUGAACGGCAUCGUUUGAUUUUGAAAGCUCCGGCGGUUUGAGAUGAGUAUGCGUCUGAUUAGCUAGUUGGUGAGGUAACGGCUCACCAAGGCGACGAUCAGUAGGGGAUCUGAGAGGACUAACCCCCACACUGGUACUGAGACACGGACCAGACUCCUACGGGAGGCAGCAGUAAGGAAUAUUGGUCAA